GUCUCUUGAGCAGCACAUGUAUUAAAAUUGCAAUGACAACAGAGAUGAGCAUGGUCCCUGCACAAGAAUGAAAUGAAAUUUUUUUAAAUCAUAAAAGUAUUU